UGUGAGUUGAUAUUGUGUAUUUGAGAAGUUUUUGAGUCUAUUGAAGUUUAUAUUAUGAUGAAGCUAGGAAAAGUUCUCCUAAUGGUUUGUGUUUUGUUUGCUUUCUUUAGCCACACUUACGGAUCUCCUACACCUAUUAGAGAUGAUAAAGUCUCCUUUUGUCUUAAGAGUUUGGAUGUGGCAGGACAGUGUAGUGAUAUUCGGACCUGUGGGGAAGUAUUCAAUGCUGUAUAUGGAGCAAGUGGCAUGGUUCAUGAAUGUUACUGUCAAAAUCUUACGCAAAAUACGCGUCGUUGUUCAUGUUUGGUUAAUAUAAAAUGUUAAAAAUAGGGCUUACAAAAAAAAAAGUAAAAAAUAGGAAGAUACAAGUCAUUUUGGCAAUGCACUAAGAUGAAAUAAAAUAAAUAGUUAUUUACUAU